rnacentral:rRNA from 1 species
GGAUGUAAUCAUACCAACAUUAAUGCAGCAGAUUUCGAGUUAAUGUGUUUUGGCUGAAAGUAGUGUUAGGAUGAGUGACCUCCUAAAAAGUACUUUUAUUGCAUUCU